AUGGGACUUUGUCUGGAUAUGGU
rnacentral:piRNA from 1 species